CAGCCGCCACGGUAAUACGGAGGGUGCAAGCGUUAAUCGGAAUUACUGGGCGUAAAGCGCACGCAGGCGGUCUGACAAGUCAGAUGUGAAAUCCCCGGGCUUAACCUGGGAACUGCAUUUGAAACUGUCAGGCUGGAGUCUUGUAGAGGGGGGUGGAAUUCCAGGUGUAGCGGUGAAAUGCGUAGAGAUCUGGAGGAAUACCGGUGGCGAAGGCGGCCCCCUGGACAAAGACUGACGCUCAGGUGCGAAAGCGUGGGGAGCAAACAGGAUUAGAUACCCCUGUAGUCCCUGUCUCUUAUAU
rnacentral:rRNA from 1 species